GACGAACGCUGGCGGCGUGCUUAACACAUGCAAGUCGAACGGAAAGGCCCUGCUUUUGUGGGGUGCUCGAGUGGCGAACGGGUGAGUAACACGUGAGUAACCUGCCCUUGACUUUGGGAUAACUUCAGGAAACUGGGGCUAAUACCGGAUAGGAGCUCCUGCUGCAUGGUGGGGGUUGGAAAGUUUCGGCGGUUGGGGAUGGACUCGCGGCUUAUCAGCUUGUUGGUGGGGUAGUGGCUUACCAAGGCUUUGACGGGUAGCCGGCCUGAGAGGGUGACCGGCCACAUGGGGACGGAGAUACGGCCCAGACUCCUAGGGGAGGGAGGAGGGGGGAAUAUUGCAAAAGGGGGGGAAGCCUGAUGCAGCAACGCCGGGGGGGGGAGGACGGCCUUGGGGUUGUAAACCGCUUUCGCCUGGGACGAAGGGUGGGUGACGGUAAUGGGAAAAGAAGCACCGGCGAAAUACGU
rnacentral:rRNA from 1 species